UACGUAGGGGGCAAGCGUUGUCCGGAAUCAUUGGGCGUAAAGAGCGUGUAGGCGGUCCGGUAAGUCGGCUGUGAAAGUCCAGGGCUCAACCCUGGGAUGCCGGUCGAUACUGCCGGACUAGAGUUCGGAAGAGGCGAGUGGAAUUCCCGGUGUAGCGGUGAAAUGCGCAGAUAUCUGGAGGAACACCUAUGGCGAAGGCAGCUCGCUGGGACGUUACUGACGCUGAGACGCGAAAGCGUGGGGAGCAAACAGG
rnacentral:rRNA from 1 species